rnacentral:lncRNA from 1 species
CCCAUUCCCCCUCGUCCUGUUACCAGGCACGCAGUAGAAUACACCAACCCCCACCUCACUACAGCCUCCUUUAAGGUACUUAUAAAGAGCGAUAAGGUCGCCCCUGAGUCUCCUUUUCUCGAGGCUGAACAAACCCAGCUCCCUCAGCCACUCCUCGGAAGACUUGUUCUCCAGGCCCCUCACCAGCUUCAUCGCCCUUCUCUGGACUCUCUCGAGCACCUCCAUGUCCUUCUUGUAGCAAGGGGCCCAAAACUGAACACAGUACUCGAGGUGCAGCCUCACCAGAGCCGAGUACAGGGGGACAAUCACUUCCCUAGCCCUGCUGGCCACACUGCUUCUGAUACAAGCCAGGCUGCCGUUGGCCUUCUUGGCCACCUGAGCACACUGCUGGCUCAUAUUCAGCCGACUGUCAGCCAAUACUCCCAGGUCCUUCUCUGCCUGGCAGCUAUCCAACCACUCAUCUCCCAGUCUCUAGCUCUACUUGGGGUUGUUGUGCCCCAGGUGGAGGACCUGGUACUUGGCCUUGUUGAACUUCAUACAGUUGGCCUCAGCCCAUCGGUGCAGCCUAUCCAGAUCCUCCUGCAGAGCUUUCCUACCCUCAAGCAGAUCAACACAUGCACCUACCUUGGUGUCCUGUGCAAACUUACUGAGGGUGCACUCGAUCCCCUCAUCCAGAUCAUCAAUAAAGAUAUUAAAGAGGACAGGCCCCAGUACCAAGCCCUGGGGGACGCCACUAGUGACCGGCCUCCAACUGGAUUUGACUCCAUUCACCACGACUCUUUGGGCUCAGCUAUCCAGCCAGUUUUUAACCCAAUUAAGUAUAUGCCAGUCCAAACUGUGAGCAGCCAGUUUCUUGAGGAGAAUGCUGUAGGAAACAGUGUCAAAAGCCUUGCUGAAGUCAAGGUAGACCACAUCCACAGCCUUUCCCUCAUCUACCAAGCAUGUCACUUUGUCAUAGAAGGAGAUCAGGUUCGUCAAGCAGGACCUGCCUUUCAUAAACCCAUGCUGACUGGGCCUGAUCGCCUGCUUGCCCUGCAAGUGCCAUGUGAUGACAUUCAUGAUAAUCUGCUCCAUGAGCUUCCCUGGCACUGA